AGCGACCCAACAUCUAGACGACCCGCGCCGCCAUAGAUCCUUCUCCCUGUCAUCCAUGGAGCUUGUGGGUGGAAUUGACGACCGUGUGACCAUUAAUUGCUCGCCAGAGGUUCUUUCUCCAUCGUGGACCCACCUCUACCGGGGCGGGGACCCCUAUGCUACUAACUCUCUGGUAAGCUCCCUUGCAGUUGUGACCAUUGUCGGGUCGUAGCGUGUUGAGGCUAAAGACUUGAGUAUGGGGGUACGCCGGUGCCAGUCUAGUGUCUCCAGCGGGAGAUCCGCCGCACGCUUGGACGGAGUCGGGAGGGAGCGGUUCCUGACCGUUGGAUCGGCCCCUGUGGUGCAGAUUAGAUUGCAGCAUAUCUGAAAGGGAAAUAUGGUUUAACCUUUUCCUAUAAAUAAUUUUGGUGGUUGAAUGCCCAACACAAAUAAUUGGACUAACUAGUUUUCUCUAGAUUAUAUUCCACAGGUGCAUAAAGGUUCAACACAAACCAAUAAAAAGAUUAAAGAAAGGGUUCAAAAAGAAAGGAGUAAAGAAACCCAAGUGUGCCCUGGUCUGGCGCACCGGAUUGUCCGAUGUGCCAGUGGAUAGUGUCCGGUGUGCCAGGACCGUACAACUCCGAACUCUUCACCUUCGGGUUUCUCAGGCAUCGCUCCGCUAUAAUUCACCGGACUGUUCGGUGCACCAGCGGAACAACGACUACCAGCGCAACGGUCAACUACAAUAGACACCUGCAAACGCUACAGUGCGCGGGCAGUUCGCGCAGAAGUCAGAGCAGCCGCUAGAGGCACACCGAAUAGUGAACAGUACCUGUUCGAUGCGGCACCGGACUGUCCGGUGCCACUAGAAGACAAAGCUCCAACGGUCGAAACCACCACCACUCCAACCAUCCAAGCAUUCAACACAUUGCAUUCAAUACAAGAGCAAUAGACUUCACUCCAAAGACACAAUUCAAGUGAUCAAUCCGCUCAAAGUCCCCAAUUCAGCUCUAGCACAUUAGGACUUGUGAGAGGAUCAUUUGUGUUUCUUUGUUGCUCUUGUUUGCUUGGCUUGGCUUUCUUUUCUUUCUCACUUCUUACUCUCAAGCUUUGUAAGUGAGGCAAGAGACACCAAUUGUGUGGUGGUCCUUGCGGGGUCUAAGUGACCCAUGAGAUUAAGGAAGAAGCCUCACUCGGUAUCAAGCUUCAUUUUUAAUAUAGAUAUAUCUUUUGCAUUCUAUUUCUUUGCAAAACAAUUGGAUGUUAAAUGAAUAGUUGUUCUCUACGAUGAUAGUGGUGGGAAAUAGAAGUCCUGAAUGAUCUGGGGUCAGUUUCUGCGCAACGACGAUUUAUCAAAGGAGAGGAGGUCCCAUCUAUGCCAGCAAGGGAGCUUGGCCAACUGCGACAACAAGAUCCCAUCUUUUAUUGUUUUAGUGAUAUACAACAAAAACUCGAAUGAGAUAUAUGAAAAUUGAAGUGUACAAAGAAGUUCUCACUUCUUAGACUUUGUCUUUGUGAUAUUCACAUUGUAAUUUGAUUUAUAUAAGUUUACUUUAUUGCUUGUUGGCAAAUAAUUUAUAAGAUAUUGAGGUCG
rnacentral:lncRNA from 1 species